rnacentral:rRNA from 1 species
AGAGUUUGAUCAUGGCUCAGAUUGAACGCUGGCGGCAGGCCUAACACAUGCAAGUCGAGCGGUAGAGAGAAGCUUGCUUCUCUUGAGAGCGGCGGACGGGUGAGUAAUGCCUAGGAAUCUGCCUGGUAGUGGGGGAUAACGUUCGGAAACGGACGCUAAUACCGCAUACGUCCUACGGGAGAAAGCAGGGGACCUUCGGGCCUUGCGCUAUCAGAUGAGCCUAGGUCGGAUUAGCUAGUUGGUGAGGUAAUGGCUCACCAAGGCGACGAUCCGUAACUGGUCUGAGAGGAUGAUCAGUCACACUGGAACUGAGACACGGUCCAGACUCCUACGGGAGGCAGCAGUGGGGAAUAUUGGACAAUGGGCGAAAGCCUGAUCCAGCCAUGCCGCGUGUGUGAAGAAGGUCUUCGGAUUGUAAAGCACUUUAAGUUGGGAGGAAGGGUUGUAGAUUAAUACUCUGCAAUUUUGACGUUACCGACAGAAUAAGCACCGGCUAACUCUGUGCCAGCAGCCGCGGUAAUACAGAGGGUGCAAGCGUUAAUCGGAAUUACUGGGCGUAAAGCGCGCGUAGGUGGUUUGUUAAGUUGGAUGUGAAAUCCCCGGGCUCAACCUGGGAACUGCAUUCAAAACUGACUGACUAGAGUAUGGUAGAGGGUGGUGGAAUUUCCUGUGUAGCGGUGAAAUGCGUAGAUAUAGGAAGGAACACCAGUGGCGAAGGCGACCACCUGGACUAAUACUGACACUGAGGUGCGAAAGCGUGGGGAGCAAACAGGAUUAGAUACCCCUGGUAGUCCACGCCGUAAACGAUGUCAACUAGCCGUUGGAAGCCUUGAGCUUUUAGUGGCGCAGCUAACGCAUUAAGUUGACCGCCUGGGGAGUACGGCCGCAAGGUUAAAACUCAAAUGAAUUGACGGGGGCCCGCACAAGCGGUGGAGCAUGUGGUUUAAUUCGAAGCAACGCGAAGAACCUUACCAGGCCUUGACAUCCAAUGAACUUUCUAGAGAUAGAUUGGUGCCUUCGGGAACAUUGAGACAGGUGCUGCAUGGCUGUCGUCAGCUCGUGUCGUGAGAUGUUGGGUUAAGUCCCGUAACGAGCGCAACCCUUGUCCUUAGUUACCAGCACGUUAUGGUGGGCACUCUAAGGAGACUGCCGGUGACAAACCGGAGGAAGGUGGGGAUGACGUCAAGUCAUCAUGGCCCUUACGGCCUGGGCUACACACGUGCUACAAUGGUCGGUACAGAGGGUUGCCAAGCCGCGAGGUGGAGCUAAUCCCAUAAAACCGAUCGUAGUCCGGAUCGCAGUCUGCAACUCGACUGCGUGAAGUCGGAAUCGCUAGUAAUCGCGAAUCAGAAUGUCGCGGUGAAUACGUUCCCGGGCCUUGUACACACCGCCCGUCAAGCCAUGGAAGCUGGGGGUGCCUGAAGUCGGUAACCGUAAGGAGCUGCCUAGGGUAAAACUAGUAACUGGGGCUAAGUCGUAACAAGGUAGCCGUACCGGAAGGUGCGGCUGGAUCACCUCCUUA